ensembl:lncRNA
UUAACAAACUUUCUGUGUUCUGGAACUAGUUUAAUAGUGGAAAUAUUUUCAGUAAGCUGUGUUCGCAACCUAUAAGCAGGUGAAAUCUGUGUAUGUGACCUGUUUAUAAGUUGUAUUAGCUUAGUUCUUGUGAACAGUGUGGAAAAGUAAGCCAUGAGGAGAGCGAUUUAACCAGCUUUAAAGGACCUAAGAUGUGCUUUUUAAGCACAGUGGAUCAAAGGAGACUCACUAAGACAGGACUUCAGCAGCCUGUUGAGUAUGGACAAGUCAGCAUAAAUAAAGAAUGACAAGGCAGCAGCAAGAGCUUCAACUACAGAGAAGUGAAGGCAUAAGAUACUAUGGUGAUAGUGAGCAACUUUCCAAAAGCUAGUUAAAUCUGCUUAUUACAACUGAAAUAUCGAAGAAAGUCUAGCAGGAAGGAGCUCUUCGCCUUUUGGAACAUCAAUGAGAGAUAGUUGCCACAGUCACUAGGUCUAGCAUUUAGACCUGCAAGGAAGGGCAAUAAGCAUUAGGUAAGGCUUGCAUUUGAAUUUUUUCACUAAUUAAAGAGUAAUUCUUUGUAAAGCAAGGUAAGAGUAAUCUUUUUGAUUUGCAGGUUGAAUGAGAACCCACUUGCCUAAAAGAGGAAUGUCUUUCCUACCAUCUUAAAUACGAAGGUUUCUGGCUGGGUAAAGUCGAUUUUCGAUGAAGAGCAACCUGAGAUUUUGUAAUAAGCAUGACUUAAAACAGAAGCGUGAAGUUGCCAACGCGCUCUAGGAAAACGCCUUAGAGUGGGCGCUGGGGAGGUGUCAGAGGAUACAGAUGGAGAAGAUGGUCUUCGUUCAAGUGGCCUCAUGUAUAAGGUCUCUUGAAUAUAAAUUUAGGGAAUUAUUUGGACUAAGGCUAAGUUUGUUUUUUUUGUUUGUUUUUUUUUUGUGUUUAACCUGUUAACCAGGAGUGGGGCCUAACUUGCUAAUCCUCUUUUUAAAAGACAACUUUUCCAAAAGAGUAAUUAAAAUACUACUCAACUACUGUUGAGAUCAGUUGCUGAUUGUUCACAAGGGCUAUUGUUGCUGCCCCCAAAGGGCUUGUCAAAAGUUGAGAAUUGAGGUUGAUUCACUUUUUAAAAAAAUACUUUUGGGGGGACAGAGGCUUAAAAUUAGUCUCUAAAUUAUAAGUAAAUCAAGUUCUUAGAUAAACAAGAGUAGAUUGCCAGAGAUUAUUCUCAGAAAAUGACUGGUUGGCUCUUUGUUUCCGUGUCUAAAUCAGGACCGAAUUUCUACACAUCACCAUAGAAUGAAGUGUUGAAUAAGGUAAUAAUAGCUUUUUAAUAAGUUUUCUUUACAACAUGGUUUUAGUGGAGUAGAUUUCUUAAGACAGGAAACAUUUUCUUUUUUAAAGGCAUUGUUCCUUCCAGUCCAUCUCGUUUCUUUAUAAAGAAAUAAAGUGACUUUAUUUUAAACGUAGUUCCACUGUCAUUUCUGAAAAAUGUAAUGCUCUUUAAGUCAUAGCACCGGUAAACAAAGUAAGUUAUGUAAGGGGGAAAUGGUUGCAGCAAACUUUUUAACUGAUUUUGUCAAACCAACUCAUAGGUUACUGCUUCCCACACUACAUUGGUUCAAAAACAAAAAAGCUCGACAGCACUCAGGUCCUAAAGAAGAAAUUUAUCUCAUAAUAAAGAACAUCUGUUAUGGAACUAAACAACUGAAAUAGGCUUGGUUUUAAGAGUUCCGGUAUCUAAGUCACAAUUUGAAACAUUUCUAAUAAACAGUGUCUCUUGG